AUUGAACGCUGGCGGCAUGCCUAACACAUGCAAGUCGAACGGGGUGUAGCAAUACACCUAGUGGCGGACGGGUGAGGGAUACAUAGGAAUCUGCCUCAGAGUGGGGAGUAACCCGGGGAAACCCGGACUAAUACCGCAUGAUCUCGCAAGAGCAAAGCAGGGGACCGCAAGGCCUUGUGCUCUGAGAGGAGCCUAUGUCUGAUUAGCUAGUUGGCGGGGUAAUGGCCCACCAAGGCAACGAUCAGUAACUGGUCUGAGAGGACGAUCAGUCACACCGGAACUGAGACACGGUCCGGACUCCUACGGGAGGCAGCAGUGGGGAAUAUUGGACAUGGCGAAGCCUGAUCCAGCAAUGCCGCGUGUGUGAAGAAGGCCUCGGGUUGUAAAGCACUUUAGUCAGGGAAGAAAAUGCUCAAGCUAAUAUCUUGAGUGUUGACGGUACCUGAAGAAUAAGCACCGGCUAACUCUGUGCCAGCAGCCGCGGUAAUACAGAGGGUGCGAGCGUUAAUCGGAUUUACUGGGCGUAAAGCGUGUGUAGGUGGCUGUUCAAGUCGGUUGUGAAAUCCCGGCGUCACAUGGGAAUUGCUUCCGAGACUGAGCGGCUAGAGUACGGUAGAGGGCGGUGGAAUUUCCCGGUGUAGCGGUGAAAUGCGUAGAUAUCGGAAGGAACACCAAUGGCGAAGGC
rnacentral:rRNA from 1 species